GUAGUCCACGCCCUAAACGAUGUCAACUAGUUGUUGGGGAUUCAUUUCUUCAGUAACGUAGCUAACGCGUGAAGUUGACCGCCUGGGGAGUACGGUCGCAAGAUUAAAACUCAAAGGAAUUGACGGAGACCCGCACAAGCGGUGGAUGAUGUGGAUUAAUUCGAUGCAACGCGAAAAACCUUACCUACCCUUGACAUGCCACUAACGAAGCAGAGAUGCAUUAGGUGCCCGAAAGGGAAAGUGGACACAGGUGCUGCAUGGCUGUCGUCAGCUCGUGUCGUGAGAUGUUGGGUUAAGUCCCGCAACGAGCGCAACCCUUGUCUUUAGUUGCUACGCAAGAGCACUCUAGAGAGACCGCCGGUGACAAACCGGAGGAAGGUGGGGAUGACGUCAAGUCCUCAUGGCCCUUAUGGGUAGGGCUUCACACGUCAUACAAUGGUGCGUACAGAGGGUUGCCAACCCGCGAGGGGGAGCCAAUCCCAGAAAACGCAUCGUAGUCCGGAUCGUAGUCUGCAACUCGACUACGUGAAGCUGGAAUCGCUAGUAAUCGCGGAUCAGCAUGCCGCGGUGAAUA
rnacentral:rRNA from 1 species